UUAAGUUUGUAAACGGUUUCGAAUUAGUCCUUUUACCACAUCAUCUUUUGGUUAAUAGAAUGACUAAAUCGAAAACGUUUACAAACUUAAAGG
rnacentral:pre_miRNA from 2 species